rfam:Candidate division WS6 bacterium GW2011_GWF2_39_15 TT34_C0001, whole genome shotgun sequence.
CAAAAAGUAAAGCUACGGGCAUAUGGUGGAUGCCUUGGCGCAAAAAGUCGAUGAAGGACGUAGUAGACUGCGAUAUGCUUCGGGGAGAUGUCAAACAAUCGUUAUAACCCGGAGAUUUCCGAAUGGAGUAAUCCAGCUGGGGUCAUACCCAGUUACCCUACAGAGAAUACAUAUCUGUAGAGGAGAGAACGUUGGGAAGUGAAACCUCUCAGUACCAACAGGAAAAAAGAACAUAAGUUUAUUCCCUUAGUAGUGGCGAGCGAAACGGGAAGAGUCUAAACCAAUAUUGUGUAAGAGGGCGUUAAUUCAUGAGUCGCGUUGCGACGAUUGGAAAGACAAACUCGUAGGUUGCUGUUCGUGCAAUAUUGGAGUUGUAAGAUACUAAUAGAUCAAACAGCAAUUUGGUCGGAAAGUUACAAAAUACAUAUCUAAUGGAAUAGAUCUGGAAAGGUCGGCCAUAGAACAUGAAAGCUGUGUACAUUAAAGGUAUGUGUCUUUCUUUUAGUAUUCUUAAGUACCACGGAAUAAGUGAAAAUCUGUGGGAAUCUGCCAAAACCACUUGGUAAGACUAAAUACUUUUUUGCGACCGAUAGUGAACAAGUUCCGAGAGGGAAAGGUGAAAAGUACCCCUGUUAGGGGAGUGAAAUAGUAACUGAAACCAUAUGCUUACAAACAGUCAGAGUCCUAGCUUGCUAGGAUAAUGGCGUGCCUAUUGAAGAAUGACCAUGCGAGUCAGUUGUGUACGGCAAGGUUAAACCGGAAACGGUGGAGCCGAAGCGAAAGCGAGUCUGAAUAGGGCGAAUUCAGUCGUAUGCACUGGACCCGAAUCCAGGUGAUCUAACCUCGUGCAGAGUGAAGUCCCACGAAAGUGGGAUGGAGGCUCGAACACUUUAAUGUUACAAAAUUAUGUGAUGACACGUGGUUAGCGGUAAUAUGCCAAACGAACCUGGUAAUAGCUGGUUCUCCUCGAAAUAGCUUUUGGGCUAGCGUUGCAAUUUAAAUUCUGGGGGUAGAGCACUUAUAGAAUCUUGGGCUCGAAAGAGUACCAUGUUCUGUAAAACUCCGAAUACCGGAAUGUACAUUGUGGCAGUUAGAACUAUUGGGCUAAGCUAAUACGUUCGAAAGGGCAACAGCCCAGAUCGUCAGAUAAGGACCCUAAAUUUACCUCAGUGGCAAAGGAAGUGGAGUUUCUCAGACAGCUAGGAGGUUGGCUCAGAGGCAGCCAUCCUUUAAAAAGUGCGUAAAAGCUUACUAGUCUAGAGAUUCUGCGCUUAAGAUAUAACGGGGCUAAAGGUAAAUUCCGAAGCUGCGAAUGUGUAUUAACUUCGGUUAAUACAUUUGGUAGAGGAGCGUUCCAUACAUGUUGGCCUUAGCAGGCUAAAAAAAGCAGUGAAGGCAGCCCGUAAGGAGUUGCUGGAGCGUAUGGAAGUGAGAAUGCAUGGAUGAGUAGCGCAAAGCAGGUGAAAACCCUGCUCGUCGAAUAUCUAAGGUUUCCAUGGCUACGUCAGUCGCCCAUGGGUAAGUCGAUCCUAAGCCGAGGCCGAAAGGCGUAGGUGACGGACAACAGGUUAAUAUUCCUGUACUACUAUAUUUAGCAAUGGAGUGAGAGGAUUGAAAAGGCAGGCCCCUUAAGGAUUGGGGUCUAAACAGCAAGUUAGUUUUCGCAGGUAAAUCCACGAAAACGUUUCCCGCUUGCGGGAUGAACACGAACUGUUAUGGAAAGGUGACCGCAAGGAAUCCGAUCUGUCAGAUUAAUCUUCCAGGAAAAGCUUCUAGCGCUUAAGACUUCGGUCUUGAGCAAUAUUUAUGGUAAUCGUACCGCAAACCGACACCGGUAGAUUGGUGUAAAUGCACUAAGACGUACGAGUGAUGCGUUGUUAAGGAAUUCGGCAAAUUCACCCCGUAAGUUAGCGAGAAGGGGGACUGUACACUGUCAGAUUUUUUCAGGCAGUGAUUACAGUGGCACAGAAUAGGAGAGAGCGACUAGUUACCAAAACUACAGGCGCUUGCAAAUUCGUAAGAAGAUGUAUAAGUGCUGACGCCUGCCCAAUGCCAGAAGGUUAAGGAAGUUUGUCAUCGACUCUUGCCACACUUCGGUGUGUCAAUUGUUGAAAAGCGGAUGACUGAAGCCCUGGUCAAUGGCGGCUGUAACUAUAACGGUGGUAGAUAAAUAUCUACUAAGUAGUAAUGAUAAUUAUUACUUGGUUUUGCUACCAGAUAUCGGGCCGUUGUAAAAUCUAACUGUAUGCUGGGACAUCCUAAACGGCAUGGAUACUUAAUUUAUUAAGUAAAAACUUCAUGUUUUUGGACAAUCAGCAGGAAAGAUUUGUAACUAAUAUCCCUAAUACCGAAAGUUCUAAAUGGUUUAUCUCAGGAUUUGUAGAUGGAGAAGGGAGUUUCUGUCUUAAUAUUAAAAAUCGUAUUAAUGUUAAAUACGGUUUUAGAAUAGAACCAGCUUUUUAUGUUUAUCAACAUGAAAAGAAUAAAUGGUUUCUAGAAGAGAUUAUGAAAGUAUUUGGUUGCGGAAGUAUACAUCGAAAAACUUCCCCAUAUAGUGUUUAUACAUACCAAAUAUCCGGAAUUAAUCCGUGUUAUGAAAGAGUUAUCCCAUUCUUCGAAACAUAUCCGUUGAAAACAAAACUAAAAGCAUUCUCUAUUUUUAGAGAUGCAAUAGUGAUGAUGAAGAAUAAGCAACAUCUUAGUCCGAAAGGAAUGCUGAAGUUGUUAGAUUAUUCAUAUGAGAUGAAUCAGAUGGGAAAAGGUAAAAAGUGGGAAAAGAAAGAAUUAGUUGCAAGAAUCCUCAGAGGCUAAACGUUAGACUUCCAUUUACAAAAAUAUGUGGAAGAAGAUAUAGUCCGACCUCUACAGUAAUGUAGAGAGAUAUACAAAAGUAUAUCCGCCUAAGAAAUUAGGUCAUCUAAGUAAAUAGAUACUUAGAUCUAAGUAACAGGAAUGCCUAAGGUAGCGUAAUACCUCGCCACUUAAUUAGUGGCUUGCAUGAAAGGCGUAACGACUCUCUCACUGUCUCGACAGCGUGCUCGGCGAAAUUGAAAUGGCUGUGAAGAUGCGGCCUACCCGUACCAGGACAAAAAGACCCCGUGGAGCUUUACUGCAGCUUUGCAUUGAAAUUAGGCUCUAGUUGUAGAGCAUAGGUGGGAGACUUUGAACCAGAUUCGUCAGGAUUUGGGGAGUCACCAGUGUAAUACCACCCUAUUGGCGUUUAAUUUCUCACCUUUGCCGUUACCCGGCAAGGAAACAGUGCACGGCGGGCAGUUUGACUGGGGCGGUUGCUUGCAAAAGAGUAACGCAAGCGUACAAAGGUCACCUCAAUCCGGAUGGAAAUCGGAUGAAGAGUACAUAAGCAUAAGGUGGCUUUACUGUGAGGGAGACAUCCCGAGCAGUUGCGAAAGCAGGUUUAAGUGACCCUUUGGCAGAAUGUGGAAUCGCCAUUGUUUAACGGAUAUAAGUUACCCCGGGGAUAACAGGCUGGUGGUGCCCGAUAGUUCAUAUUGACGGCACCGUUCGGCACCUCGAUGUCGGCUCGUCACAUCCUGGGAGUGGAUAAGCUCCCAAGGGUUGGACUGUUCGUCCAUUAAAGUGGCACGUGAGCUGGGUUCAGACCGUCGUGAGCCAGGUCGGUCUCUAUCCGGUAUGGGCGCAGCAAAUUUGAGGGAAGUGGCCCCUAGUACGAAAGGAUCGGGGCGAGGUAAACCUCUGGUGUACCAGCUGUUCUACCAAGAGCAUUGCUGGGUAGCUAUGUUAUUUAGGGAUAAGCACUGAAAGCAUAUAAGUGCGAAGCCUGUCCCAAGAUUAGAUUUGCUUGUUGCGUUCGCGCAACGGAAGAUCCGUAGUAGACUACUACGUUGAUAGGCACUAGGUGUAAGUACAGCAAUGUAUUGAGCCAAGGUGUACUAAUAGAUCAAAAAACUUUUUGAA